rnacentral:rRNA from 1 species
ACGGGGCGCAGCAGGCGCGAAACCUUUACCAUGCGGGCAACCGUGAUAAGGAAACCCCGAGUGGAUGAACAGUCAUCCUGUCCAUCAGUUUAGAUCCCUGGUGAAGAAAGGGCCGGGCAAGACCGGUGCCAGCCGCCGCGGUAAUACCGGCGGCUCGAGUGGUGGCCACUAUUACUGGGCUUAAAGGGUCCGUAGCUUGCAUGAUAAGCCUCUUGAGAAAUCCACUGGCUUAACCAAUGGUCGUUCGGGAGGAACUGUCAUGCUAGGGACCGGGAGAGGUAAGGGGUACUGCCGGGGUAGGAGUGAAAUCCUGUAAUCCCGGUGGGACCACCGGUGGCGAAGGCGCCUUACCAGAACGGCUCCGACAGUGAGGGACGAAAGCUGGGGGAGCGAACCGGAUUAGAUACCCGGGUAGUCCCAGCCGUAAACGAUGCGCGUUAGGUGUGUCAGUGACCACGCGUCACUGAGGUGCCGAAGGGAAACCGUGAAACGCGCCGCCU